rnacentral:rRNA from 1 species
CCCUGAUCCAGCCAUGCCGCGUGAGUGAAGAAGGCCUUGGGUUGUAAAGCUCUUCGGCCGGGACGAAAUCGGCACGGGGCUAAUAUCCUGUGUGGAUGACGGUACCGGAAUAAGAAGCACCGGCUAACUACGUGCCAGCAGCCGCGGUAAUACGUAGGGUGCGAGCGUUAAUCGGAAUUACUGGGCGUAAAGCGUGCGCAGGCGGUUUGAUAAGACAGGCGUGAAAUCCCCGGGCUUAACCUGGGAACUGCGCUUGUGACUGUCUCACUAGAGUACGGCAGAGGGGGGUGGAAUUCCACGUGUAGCAGUGAAAAUGCGUAGAGAUGUGGAGGAACACCGAUGGCGAAGGCAGCCCCCUGGGCCGAUACUGACGCUCAUGCACGAAAGCGUGGGGAGCAAAACAGGAUUAGAUACCCUGGUAGUCCACGCCCUAAACGAUGUCAACUAGGUGUUGGGUGGGUAAAACCAUUUAGUACCGGAGCUAACGCGUGAAGUUGACCGCCUGGGGAGUACGGCCGCAAGGUUAAAACUCAAAGGAAUUGACGGGGA